AGAGCUCAAAUUUUAAAUCUGGCGUUUGUAACGUCCCGAGUUGUAAUUUGGAGAGGCAUCUUCGGGGACAGCACCAGACCAAGUUCCUUGGAACAGGACGUCACAGAGGGUGAGAAUCCCGUGCCUGCCUGGCUGUCUGAUCCCUUGUGAAGUGCCUUCUACGAGUCGAGUUGUUUGGGAAUGCAGCUCCAAGUGGGUGGUAAAUUUCAUCUAAAGCUAAAUAUGGGCGAGAGACCGAUA
rnacentral:rRNA from 1 species